GGAAGAAAAGAAAGUAAAAGCGAUUCAGUGAGUGUCGGUGAGCGAACGCGGACGAGCCUAAACCUCGGCCGACGGAACAGAUCUGAUUCGCUGGAGUAGGGAGGUUGUAGGACUGGCAGGAGUAGAUUAGAAGGCGCCGAAAGGUUACCAAACAAAAGAUUAGCAGAACGGUAUUGGAAAAGCCGACAAUAGAGGGUUAAAGUCCCGUAAGCGAAAAUUUUGGGUCUUUGGCCAGUAUCCUGAGUACCACGUAACACGUGUAAUUCAGUGGGAAUCUGCGGGGACCACCCCGUAAGGCUAAACAGUACCUGAUGACCGAUCGAGAACAAGUACCGCGAGGGAACGGUGCAAAGUACCUGGGGACCGGAGUGAUCUAGUCCCUGAAACCGUAUGCUUACAAGGUAUCAGAGCCCUUUAUCGGGUGAUGGUGUGCCUUUCGUAGAAUGUGCCAGCGUGUUAUCUUACGUUGCAAGCUUAAGGCAGUGAUAUGUUGUAGGCGAUGCACACGCUAGUCUGACUCGG
rnacentral:rRNA from 1 species